GCCAGGCAUGGUGGUGCAUGCCUGUAAUUCCAGGGCUCAGGAGGCUGAGGCAGGAGGAUCACAAGUUCAAGGCCAGCCUCAGCAACUAAGCAAGGCCCUAAACAACUUAGUGAGACCCUGUUGCAA
rnacentral:sRNA from 1 species